UCUAAUAUGGCAGAUUAGUGCAUUGGACUUAAACCCCAAACAUAAAGUUUAAACUUUUUUUAGAA
rnacentral:tRNA from 2 species